UUCUCUGGCAUAAAAUAAGCCUGCUGUGUCCAGAUAAGCGCUGCAGGAGUCGGAGCUAUUCACAGUGCAGAGCGGACAGGACGCACCAUGGCACCGCUUGGACUGAAAGCCAUUGUUGGAGAAAAGAUAAUGAACAACGUGAUUAAGAAGGCAAGAGAAAAAGGAAAAUGGAAGGUUCUGGUGGUGGACAAGCUGAGCAUGAGGAUGGUUUCAUCCUGCUGUAAGAUGACAGACAUCAUGUCAGAAGGAAUCACCAUUGUAGAAGACAUAAACAAGCGGCGGGAGCCUCUGCCCAGCAUGGAGGCUAUCUACUUAAUCACACCAUCAGAUGAGUCUGUUGAGGGUCUGAUUGAAGACUUCAGAGACCCUCAGUCUCCAAGGUACCGAGCAGCCCACGUCUUCUUCACUGACACGAUCCCAGAGUCCCUGUUUGGACUGCUGACCAAAUCCCGCGCCUCCAAAGCCAUGAAGGCCUUGACUGAGAUCCACAUAGCCUUCCUGCCCUAUGAAUCUCAGGUCUUCUCCCUAGAUAAAGCGGAUGCCUUCCAGGACUUCUACAGCCCCUUCAAAGCCGAUGUGAAGAAUAACAUGUUGGAGCGUUGUGCUGAACAGAUAGCCACCCUUUGUGCAACGCUCAAAGAGUAUCCUGGAGUCCGUUACAGAGGGGAGUACAACGACUGUGCAGUUCUUGCCCAGAUGCUUCAGGAGAAGCUAGAUGGAUACAAGGCUGAUGACCCCACUAUGGGAGAGGGACCAGACAAGUGUCGCACUCAGCUGGUGAUUCUGGAUCGUGGCUUUGACCCUGUGUCCCCUCUCUUGCAUGAGCUCACACUGCAGGCCAUGGCCUACGACUUGCUGGGCAUUGAAAAUGAUGUCUACAGUUAUGAGACCAGUGGGAUGGGAGAAACCCGAAUGAAGGAGGUGGUUCUGGACGAGGAUGAUGACCUGUGGCUGACUCUGAGACACAAACACAUAGCUGAGGUGUCAACGGCUGUAACUCGCUCUCUGAAAGAAUUCUCUGCCAGCAAGAAGAUGAACACAGGAGAAAAGACUACCAUGAAGGAGCUGUCUCAGAUGCUAAAGAAGAUGCCUCAGUAUCAGAAAGAGCUCAGCAAGUAUUCAACCCAUCUUCACCUUGCAGAGGACUGUAUGAAUCGCUACCAGGGUACAGUGGACAAACUCUGUCGUGUAGAGCAGGAUUUGGCAAUGGGCACAGAUGCAGAGGGUGAGAAGAUCAAGGAUCCCAUGAGGCUCAUUGUUCCCAUCCUCCUGGAUGCCAACGUCAACGUGUCCGACAAGAUACGCAUCAUCCUGCUCUACAUCUUCAUGAAGAAUGGUGUGACUGAGGAGAACCUGUGUAAGCUCCUGCAGCAUGCAAACAUCCCACCUGAGGACAGUGACAUUAUUUCCAACAUGGCCCACCUGGGCGUUCCCAUUGUCUCUGAGGGAAUCACGAAAAAACCCAAAAAACCUGAUCGUAAGGAACGGGUCAGUGAGCAAACAUACCAGCUCUCAAGAUGGACACCACUCAUCAAAGAUCUCAUUGAGGAUGCAAUCGAGGACAAACUUGACCCAAAACAGUACCCAUACAUCUCUCAGCGACAAGUUUCUGCCAAGGCCAGUGCUCCAUCAAGUGCUCGCUAUGGCAACUGGCACAAGAACCGAGGCCCCACAGAGAUGAAGACCGGUCCCAGGAUCAUAGUCUUCAUAAUUGGAGGCAUGGCAUACAGUGAAAUGCGCUGUGUGUAUGAGGUCACACAAGCCAAUGGCAAAUGGGAGGCUCUGAUUGGUUCCACCCACAUCCUCACACCCCCUAGAUACCUAAAGGAUCUGCAGCACCCAGACUUUCUGGAUCCCAACGCCCUACCAGAGGGUGUAGAGGAAUCACCGGCACAAUAAAAACACAUUCUCAAGGACUGUGCUCUUAGACAUGAUGCCAAAACCCUUGGUACUGAUUUCUACAGCACAGACACUGAUCAACAGAAAUCCUCACCCCGUCUUGCCUUCUUAAAACCCUGAAAGAUUUGGAGAAGGGAGAGCAGUCCAGUUAACAUGUUCCUUCAUCAGCCCCCAUAAGUCAAAGCUUUGUGCACCAGUGUUAACCCAACCUAAACAUAACACUUCAUGUUGUAUACUGUUGAGUCACUGUAAUGUGAUGCUGUUGUUUAAAUCAUAGGUUUGUUGGAUUUGCUGUGCUGAAUUUUGCUGCAGUUUAUUUGUGGCAUAUAGGGAAUUUAUGAUGAUUGAAUAAACUUGUAAUUUAGUUUAGAUAAGAUGGCAUGCAGAGAAUAAUAUUUAAUCAGAGAUUCAUUUGUAACAAAACAGUUGUGUAUAUCUUAGAAGCAAACAUGCUAUAAAUAUGCAGAAUUAUGAUAUUUCAUGUGCGAUGACGUGUUGGACCACAAAUGACAACAGAAAGCCAUGCUAAUAAUGGUUUAGAUCUAGCGCCAACAUUUACUUUGCAUUUUCUUCUUUGUCAGUGGUGUUUGUAGUGUUUAGUUACCUUUUAGCUCCAAGUGUUUGCUCCUAAUGCUGCUGUUGGGUUUUAUUAUAUUGUAACAUUUUAUUUCAAAUCUAUUAUCAGAGAAGACUGGUUUCCUGACAAACACUAAACAAUGUUGCUGUUAUUGUUUUGACAUCUGCAGUUGUGAAGAAGCUAAUAAAUUUGUUUCAAUUAAAA